rnacentral:rRNA from 1 species
UCCGUAGGUGAACCUGCGGAAGGAUCAUUAAUUAUGUUAAAGCGCCUUACCUUAGGGUUUCCUCUGGGGUAAGUGAUUGCUUCUACACUGUGAAAAUUUGGCUGAGAGACUCAGACUGGUCAUGGGUAGACCUAUCUGGGGUUUGAUCGAUGCCACUCCUGGUUUCAGGAGUACCCUUCAUAAUAAACCUAGAAAUUCAGUAUUAUAAAGUUUAAUAAAAAACAACUUUUAACAAUGGAUCUCUUGGUUCUCGCAUCGAUGAAGAACGUAGCAAAGUGCGAUAACUAGUGUGAAUUGCAUAUUCAGUGAAUCAUCGAGUCUUUGAACGCAGCUUGCACUCUAUGGUUUUUCUAUAGAGUACGCCUGCUUCAGUAUCAUCACAAACCCACACAUAACAUUUGUUUAUGUGGUGAUGGGUCGCAUCGCUGUUUUAUUACAGUGAGCACCUAAAAUGUGUGUGAUUUUCUGUCUGGCUUGCUAGGCAGGAAUAUUACGCUGGUCUCAGGAUCUUUUUUUUUGGUUCGCCCAGGAAGUAAAGUACAAGAGUAUAAUCCAGUAACUUUCAAACUAUGAUCUGAAGUCAGGUGGGAUUACCCGCUGAACUUAAGCAUAUCAAUAAGCGGAGGA